rnacentral:rRNA from 1 species
UACGUAGGUGGCAAGCGUUAUCCGGAAUUAUUGGGCGUAAAGGGAGCGUAGGCGGUCUUGCAAGUCUAUGGUUAAAAUUCGGGGCUUAACCCCGUCUUGCCAUAGAAACUGCUUGACUUGAGUACAGGAGAGGUUAGUGGAAUUCCAUGUGUAGCGGUAAAAUGCGUAGAUAUAUGGAGGAACACCAGUGGCGAAAGCGGCUAACUGGCCUGUAACUGACGCUAAGGCUCGAAAGCGUGGGGAGCAAAUAGG